rnacentral:rRNA from 1 species
UACGUAGGGUGCGAGCGUUGUCCGGAAUUACUGGGCGUAAAGAGCUCGUAGGCGGUUUGUCGCGUUGUUCGUGAAAUCUCACGGCUUAACUGUGAGCGUGCGGGCGAUACGGGCAGACUAGAGUACUGCAGGGGAGACUGGAAUUCCUGGUGUAGCGGUGGAAUGCGCAGAUAUCAGGAAGAACACCCGUGGCGAAGGCGGCUCUCUGGGACAGUACUGACGCUGAGACGCGAAAGCGUGGGGAGCGAACAGG